rnacentral:rRNA from 1 species
UACAGAGGGUGCGAGCGUUGUCCGGAAUCACUGGGCGUAAAGCGCACGUAGGCGGCACAGCAAGUCGGGAGUGAAAGCCCGGGGCUCAACCCCGGAAUGGCUUUCGAAACUGCUGAGCUAGAGUACAGAAGGGGCAACCGGAAUUCCCAGUGUAGCGGUGAAAUGCGUAGAUAUUGGGAAGAACACCUGAGGCGAAGGCGGGUUGCUGGGCUGAUACUGACGCUGAGGCGCGAAAGCCAGGGGAGCAAACGGG